rnacentral:rRNA from 1 species
UACGUAGGGUCCAAGCGUUAAUCGGAAUUACUGGGCGUAAAGCGUGCGCAGGCGGUGCUGUAAGACAGAUGUGAAAUCCCCGGGCUUAACCUGGGAACUGCAUUUGUGACUGCAGCGCUAGAGUGUGUCAGAGGGAGGUAGAAUUCCACGUGUAGCAGUGAAAUGCGUAGAGAUGUGGAGGAAUACCGAUGGCGAAGGCAGCCUCCUGGGAUAACACUGACGCUCAUGCACGAAAGCGUGGGGAGCAAACAGG